rnacentral:pre_miRNA from 11 species
UUUUCAUCAAUUUCUGCUCAUUGUUCCUUUUUCCUAUGCAUAUACUUCUUUGAGAAUCUGAUCUAAAGAGGCAUACGGCAUGGGAAAAUGGGGCAAUUGAGGUAUUCCUCCACCAUCC